GCUUCGACUUACCUGGUACCUGUCAGGGGU
rnacentral:piRNA from 1 species